rnacentral:rRNA from 1 species
GACGAACGCUGGCGGCGUGCUUAACACAUGCAAGUCGAACGGAAAGGCCCUGCUUUUGUGGGGUGCUCGAGUGGCGAACGGGUGAGUAACACGUGAGUAACCUGCCCUUGACUUUGGGAUAACUUCAGGAAACUGGGGCUAAUACCGGAUAGGAGCUCCUGCUGCUUGGUGGGGGUUGGAAAGUUUCGGCGGUUGGGGAUGGACUCGCGGCUUAUCAGCUUGUUGGUGGGGUAGUGGCUUACCAAGGCUUUGACGGGUAGCCGGCCUGAGAGGGUGACCGGCCACAUUGGGACUGAGAUACGGCACAGACUCCUACGGGAGGCAGAAGUGGGGAAUAUUGCACAAUGGGCGGAAGCCUGAUGCAGCAACGCCGCGUGCGGGAUGACGGCCUUCGGGUUGUAAACCGCUUUCGCCUGUGACGAAGCGUGAGUGACGGUAAUGGGUAAAGAAGCACCGGCUAACUACGUG